rnacentral:rRNA from 1 species
AGUGAGCGCUGGCGGCAGGCCUAACACAUGCAAGUCGAACGGCAGCACAGUAAGAGCUUGCUCUUACGGGUGGCGAGUGGCGGACGGGUGAGGAAUACAUCGGAAUCCACUUUUUCGUGGGGGCUAACGUAGGGAAACUUACGCUAAUACCGCAUACGACCUAUGGGUGAAAGCAGGCGAUCUUCGAACCUUGUGCGAUUGAAUGAGCCGAUGUCGGAUUAGCUAGUUGGCGGGGGAAAGGCCCACAAAGGCGACGAUCCGUAGCUGGUCUGAGGGGAUGGACAGAUAGACUGGAUGUGAGGAACGGUCGAGACUCUUGAGGUGAGCAGCAGUGGAGAAUAUUACGCGAUGGACGAGAGCGUGAUCCAGCCAUACCGCGUGAAUGAAGAAGGACUUCGGGCUGGAGAGCGAUUUUGUUGGGAAAGAAGAGCAGCUGUUUAAUACGCCACUAUUCUGACGGUACCCAAAGAAUAAGCACCGGCUAACUUCGUG